AACGAACGCUGGCGGCAUGCCUAACACAUGCAAGUCGAACGAUGCUUUCGGGCAUAGUGGCGCACGGGUGCGUAACGCGUGGGAAUCUGCCCCUUGGUUCGGAAUAACAGUUAGAAAUGACUGCUAAUACCGGAUGACGACGUAAGUCCAAAGAUUUAUCGCCGAGGGAUGAGCCCGCGUAGGAUUAGCUAGUUGGUGUGGUAAAGGCGCACCAAGGCGACGAUCCUUAGCUGGUCUGAGAGGAUGAUCAGCCACACUGGGACUGAGACACGGCCCAGACUCCUACGGGAGGCAGCAGUGGGGAAUAUUGGACAAUGGGCGCAAGCCUGAUCCAGCAAUGCCGCGUGAGUGAUGAAGGCCUUAGGGUUGUAAAGCUCUUUUACCCGUGAUGAUAAUGACAGUAGCGGGAGAAUAAGCCCCGGCUAACUCCGU
rnacentral:rRNA from 1 species